GUGGGGUAAUGGCCUACCAAGGCGACGACGGGUAGCCGACCUGAGAGGGUGACCGGCCACACUGGGACUGAGACACGGCCCAGACUCCUACGGGAGGCAGCAGUGGGGAAUAUUGCACAAUGGGCGAAAGCCUGAUGCAGCGACGCCGCGUGAGGGAUGACGGCCUUCGGGUUGUAAACCUCUUUCAGCAGGGACGAAGCGCAAGUGACGGUACCUGCAGAAGAAGCACCGGCUAACUACGUGCCAGCAGCCGCGGUAAUACGUAGGGUGCAAGCGUUGUCCGGAAUUACUGGGCGUAAAGAGUUCGUAGGCGGUUUGUCGCGUCGUUUGUGAAAACCAGCAGCUCAACUGCUGGCUUGCAGGCGAUACGGGCAGACUUGAGUACUGCAGGGGAGACUGGAAUUCCUGGUGUAGCGGUGAAAUGCGCAGAUAUCAGGAGGAACACCGGUGGCGAAGGCGGGUCUCUGGGCAGUAACUGACGCUGAGGAACGAAAGCGUGGGUAGCGAACAGGAUUAGAUACCCCGGUAGUCCACGCCGUAAACGUUGGGCACUAGGUGUGGGACUCUAUCGACGGGUUCCGUGCCGUAGCUAACGCAUUAAGUG
rnacentral:rRNA from 1 species